rnacentral:rRNA from 1 species
UACGGAGGUGGCGAGCGUUACUCGGAUUCAUUGGGUGUAAAGGGCAGGUAGGUGUCCUAACAAGUGAGAGGUGAAAUCCUACGACUCAAUCGUAGAACUGCCUUUCAAACUGUUGGGAUUGAGUGUGAGAGAGGAAAGCGGAACUCUCGGUGUAAGGGUGAAAUCUGUAGAGAUCGAGAGGAACACCAGUAGCGAAGGCGGCUUUCUGGAUCACAACUGACACUGAGCUGCGAAAGCUAGGGGAGCAAACAGG